GACGAACGCUGGCGGCGUGCUUAACACAUGCAAGUCGAACGGAAAGGCCCUGCUUUUGUGGGGUGCUCGAGUGGCGAACGGGUGAGUAACACGUGAGUAACCUGCCCUUGACUUUGGGAUAACUUCAGGAAACUGGGGCUAAUACCGGAUAGGAGCUCCUGCUGCAUGGUGGGGGUUGGAAAGUUUCGGCGGUUGGGGAUGGACUCGCGGCUUAUCAGCUUGUUGGUGGGGUAGUGGCUUACCAAGGCUUCGACGGGUAGCCGGCCUGAGAGAGUGAUCGGCCACAUUGGAGCUGAGACACGGUCCAGAGGCCUAAGGGAGGCAGCAGACUCGUACGUGAGGCAGCGGGGGAGAGUAUGACAGAGUGAGCGGGAGUGUGAUACGGCAGCGCCGCGUGCGGGAAGACGGGCUUUGGGGUAUAAACAACUUUCGACUGAACCGUAGCGGGAGUGACGGUACUGAAUAAGAAAGCAACGGCUAACUACGUG
rnacentral:rRNA from 1 species